rnacentral:rRNA from 1 species
UACGUAGGGCGCAAGCGUUGUCCGGAAUUAUUGGGCGUAAAGAGCUCGUAGGCGGCCAGUUGCGUCCGCUGUGAAAUCCCGGGGCUUAACCCCGGGCGUGCAGUGGAUACGGGCUGGCUAGAGGCAGGCAGGGGAGAACGGAAUUCCCGGUGUAGCGGUGAAAUGCGCAGAUAUCGGGAGGAACACCGGUGGCGAAGGCGGUUCUCUGGGCCUGUACUGACGCUGAGGAGCCGAAAAGUGUGGGGGAGCGAAACAGGG